CGUGUAGGCGGUUCGGUAAGUGGGAUGUGAAAUGCCCCGGCUCACCCGGGGACCUGCAUCCCAAACUGCUGAGCUUGAGUACAGGAGAGGGUGGGGGAAUUCCAGGUGUAGCGGUGAAAUGCGUAGAUAUCUGGAGGAACACCGGUGGCGAAGGCGCCCACCUGGCCUGCUACUGACGCUGAGGCGCGAAAGCUAGGGAGCAAACG
rnacentral:rRNA from 1 species